GGGGCGGUAGCUCAGCUGGUCAGAGCAGGCGACUCAUAAUCGCCCAUGCCUGGGUUCAAGUCCCAGUCGCCCCA
rnacentral:tRNA from 2 species